CAGAAUUCCGUGAAUCAUCGAGUCUUUGAACGCAUGUUGCGCCCGAGGCUUGUCCCGAGGGCAUGUCUGCCUGAGCGUCAUC
rnacentral:rRNA from 1 species